GCUUGGAGAAGCCCGUUCACCGCCUCCAGCUGCUGCUCUCCUCGACAUGGACCCUGAGACCUGCCCCUGCCCUUCUGGCGUGGGGACCCGAGUUCGUCCACAUUAACCCUUCCUGUGGCGUCGCCCUCUCUAGGUGGCUCCUGCACCUGCGCGGACUCCUGCAAGUGCGAGGGAUGCAAAUGCACCUCCUGCAAGAAGAGCUGCUGCUCCUGCUGCCCUGCGGAGUGUGAGAAGUGUGCCAAGGACUGUGUGUGCAAAGGCGGAGAGGCAGCUGAGGCAGAAGCAGAGAAGUGCAGCUGCUGCCAGUGAGAAGGCACCCCUCCGUGUGGAGCACGUGGAGAUAGUGCCAGGUGGCUCAGUGCCACCUAUGCCUGUGGUGAAGUGUGGCUGGUGUCCCCUUCCCCUGCUGACCUUGGAGGAAUGACAAUAAAUCCCAUGAACAGCAUGA
rnacentral:lncRNA from 1 species